rnacentral:rRNA from 1 species
AAACAUGUCUUUUAGAUUAUAAUUUAAAGUYUAAUCUGCUCAAUGAUUAAUUAAAUAGCUGCAGUAAUUUGACUGUACAAAGGUAGCAUAAUCAAUAGUUUUUUAAUUAAAAGCUGGAAUGAAGGAUUUGAUAAGGUAAAUUUUGUCUCAAUUUUAAUAAUAUUAUAAUUUUUUUUUUAGUAAAAAUACUGAAAUGAAUUUAAAAGACGAGAAGACCCUAUAGAUUUUUAUAUUUAUAAUUUUUUAAUUAUAAAUUAUAAUAUUAUUAAAGUUAAAUAAUAUUUGGUUGGGGAAAUUAUUAAAUUAAUUGAAUUUUAAUUAUAAUAAACAAUAAUUUUUGAUUAUUUGAUCUUUAAAUUUAAGAUUAAAAGAAUAAAUUACCUUAGGGAUAACAGCGUAAUUUUUUUGGAGAGAUCUUAUUGAUAAAAAAGUUUGCGACCUCGAUGUUGAAUUAAGAUAAAAUUUUAAUGUAGAAGUUAAAAAUUUUUGGUCUGUUCGACCAUUAAAAUCUUACGUGAUCUGA